CUCGUAGGUGGCCAACUAAGUCGGACGUGAGAUCCCUCGGCUUAACCGGGGAACUGCGUCCGAUACUGGUUGGCUUGAGUUUGGGAGAGGGAUGCGGAAUUCCAGGUGUAGCGGUGAAAUGCGUAGAUAUCUGGAGGAACACCGGUGGCGAAGGCGGCAUCCUGGACCAAUACUGACGCUGAGGAGCGAAAGCCGAGGGGAAGGCAAACG
rnacentral:rRNA from 1 species